UAGGUUAGAAAGAUUUUAAUUUUGGAAAAUGUUUUAUAAAUGACCGUUGGAAUUGGGAAGCCAAAAGUUUGGGUCGGUGUAUUAGCCCAUAAAUUAUUACCUUCUCCACUCUUCCUUCUUCACUUCAUUCAUCCCGCUUCUUUCUCCAAACACCGUCGGAGACGACUCAUCGUCGCGACCUCUGUAACUCAGCUCACCGGAGACACAAGCACCCCCACCCUUCGUAAGAUUCUCACAACCAUGUCGGUAAUCCUAAGAAGUUAUCUUUAAGUUUUCAUUCCUUUUCCCUCUUAUUUUAGUUCUCUAGGGUUUUCUAUAUUUCAGAUGUUGUAAUCUCCUCUGUAUGUAUGGAUACGAGAAAAAUCGAAGCAUACUCUAGUUUUCUAACUACACAAGCUGUAUUGCAACUUAAAAACAGAAGGAAACUGCAUAGUUUUCCUGUAGUUUUGUUGACCGUUUCAUAAAGGAAACAGUGAGGAUUCAGACUUGUACUUAGAGUCAUCCAUCACCUAUAUAUAUAUAUAUAUAUAUAUAUAUAUAUAUAUAUAUAUAUAUAUAUAUAUAUAUAUAGAAGUAGAAGCUAUACCCAUCUGUAAGUUUUUACGCAAAAUUCUAAGUUAAAAUUUUAUCAUUUUAAAAGUAUUUUUAGUUACUUGCCCCUGCAGCUUCUCAACUUGAUGUUGUAUCAAACAUGGUUCCAAUUUUUCAAUAAAUAAUUUGUAUGCAAUGUAUCCAUUUCAGACCAUGUAGCCUUUGAUCAUCUAUUACAUGUAAGUUUUUAAAGUGCAUUGUUGCUCAUUCGCCCAUUUAAAUUACAUAGCUUUAAUUACAAUGAAUGUGCAGGCCUUUUGGUUGUUUUUUUUUUCAAAUGACAUUGAUCCUAUCUAUAAGUUUGUGGAUUUUUUUAACAUGAAUCUUUCCCCUUCUUCUGAUCAUGAACCAAAGAAAAUUAAGUUCAUGACAAAACUGUUCUUUCUUUUUAGCUUACUUACUAUAUUUUCAUUCGUGUAGGUCAACAACUUGAAAUUGUUGGAUGACAUGGCAGAAUUGAGUUCAGCCUACUAUGUUCCACAACUAUAUAACAGAGUAUAUGAUGGAUGGGUGUUAUGAAUGUAGUGAAGAGGCAAAAAGAAUUAUUUAAUGAGGAGGAAAAAAGCAUUUUUUUAAGGCAAGAAUGCAUCUCCUAUCCUAUGCUAUGUUAUGUGGGGGAGAUUAGUAUUUAACAAAAUAAAAGACAACUUACUUUCAUUUAUGGUUUGAGGUGCAUCACCCUUGUCUCCUGAUGUCAUGGAUUUUCUUAAAGUGUACACUUUUAGUUCCAUUGAAUCUCAAAUACUUUGCUUUAUCAAAUUACUGUCUUCAAUCCAUUGAUUACAAGCUGACAAAGCAUGGAAACAAUAUGCAGGUGUACAGGAAAUGAUGUGCUUAUUCAUUUAAAAAAUGCUAAAUAUUGCAUGGAAAAUGCCUUCAGCACUUAUUUAGUAUGCCUGCAAAAUGAGACAUCAGGGAAAGGAAAUGCCAUGUGGUGUGGUCUUUGGUGGGUUAAAAUGUUAGAAACAAGUGGUCAACAUAAAGAGGGUGUUGGUGCUUACUUUUGUAUCUCAGAUGAGGCAUCUUCUUGCUGUUACGGUUUAGCCAAACCAAUUAUAUUUAGAAAUGGACGACAAGGGUAUUUCAAGAAAAACUUCAAUUUUUGUGAACACAUCAUAUGCCAAGUGCAAUUUUGUUGGUCAAUGCUUUGUGUAUGGUCAACAACUUGAAAUUGUUGGAUGAAGACAUGGAAGAAUUAAGUUCAGCCUACUUUGUUCCACAACUAUAUAACAGAGUAUAUGAUGGAUGGGUGUUAUGAAUGCAGUGAAGAGGCAAAAAACAUUAUUUAAUGAGGAGGAAAAAAGCAUUUUUUAAAGGUGCAUCACCCUCCCCUUGUCUCCUGAUGUCAUGGAUUUACUUAAGAUUCCAAUUCCUUUGACAAAUUCCGUUCAUUACUCUGCAACAAGAAAAUGUUUCAGAAACCAAACAGAACUUGUGGAUUAGAAAAGGCAAAGAAGAAGCUCCCGAGAAUCAAAGUGAUAACAUGCAUGUUUUUACCCUUAACACUACAAAAACACUUGAUGUUUUUUAUGUUAUUAUUAAGUUUUUCGGUUAAUGUUUAAAGGUACACUUUUAGUUCCAUUGAAUCUCAAAUACCUCACUUUAUCAAAUUACUGCCUUCAAUCCACUGAUUACAAGCUGACAAAGCAUGGAAACGAGAUACAGGUCUACAGGAAAUGAUGUGCUUAUUUAUUUAAAAGAUGCUAAAUAUUGCAUGGAAAAUGCCUUCAGUACUUAUUUAGUAUGGCUGCAAAUUGAGACAUCAGGAAAGGGAAAUGCCACAUGGUGGUGGUCUUUGGUGGAUUGAAAUGUUAGAAACACGUGGUGAAUAUAAACAGGGUGCUGUGUUUAAGUGGACAACAAGGGUAUUUCGAGAAAAACUUCAAUUUUUUGCAUAAACAUCAUAUGCCAAGUGCAAUUGUGUUGGUCAAUGUUUUAUGUAUGCAACCCGGGACCCAACACGUGUAUGAUUUUCCAAGGUAAAAUUAAUAUUGUGUAGACUUGUAUAAUUUUCCUGAUGCUCUUCAGGAUUAUGUAUAACAUCCACCUGAAGAAGUUGAUGAAUGCAUACUCUGAUAGACACGAGGUAAUUUUUUCAUUAUUUAACAAAUGUAACUAACUACUCUUUUUUUCAAUGUUUAAUUAAUAGUCUGAUCUCUUUGAAAAAUAAAAAGGUGCAACACCACAUCACCUCUACCACCUAAUUCAAUGGUGCAACAAAACCUAGAAUUCAAUACGAGUAUGUAGUCCGCUUUCUAAAAACUCUGGAUGAAAUUAGUUUAAUAGGAGAAGAUUUUCAAAUAAGACAUGAGUAGUUGAUACAGACGUUUCACAUACAUGGGAUUAAUUUUGCCUAAAUCAAUGUACAUUUUUGUUGUUCCAUGGUUUGGUUGUUUUUUUAUAACCUCUAGAUUUCAUACUCAUGUAUAAUAUACAUUCUUAGUGUAAACCCUCUACAUUUCAUCACCAUAGUUACUGAUUUUGUUGUUGUGGUAGUUAGUGGUAGAACAAGGGUACAAUGUCGUUCUUCAAGAGAAAUUGAAGAAAGGAAAUUGGUAACUUACAAUUUACAUCAUAAGUUUGUGUACGCAUCUGCAUUAUACUUUCUUCACUGAAAUUGUAUAUAUUUGAAAAAAACAUAUCACUAAUUUUCUUCCACUAUAGGUAUGCAUCCGAAACCUUCUGAGAUUACAAGUAGAUGGAGGAGAGUAUGUUGAGUAGUUUAUUAUUUUUUAAGGAAGAUUGGUUACAAAACAAAUAUUUAUAAUUUAUUUAUCUGCAUUCUUUUAAAGAUACAAAUGGAUGACUUAUGCCAAAACUCUCAGUCAGCUUUUGGUUUUGGGUUAGUGGCCCAUGCCCAAGGCAUGUCACUUGUAUACUAAUUUAUCCUUGUUGGUUUUGUACAUAUCUAAAGAAAAUUAAGUUCAUGAAAGAACUGUUCUUUCUUUUUGGCUUACUUACUAUAUUUUCAUUCGUGUAGGUCAACAACUUGAAAUUGUUGGAUGACAUGGCGGAAUUGAGUUCAACCAACUGUGUUACACAAAGCAUAUGAUGGGUUGGUGAAGUGCCAAAAAGCAUUAUUUAAUGAGGAGGCAAAAAGCAUUUUUUAAAGCAUUUCUUGGCUUAAAGAAGAAGAGAAGAAGAAGAAGAAAACGGUGAUGUUUUGGAGAGGCUUGCAAGGAAUCAUCAUCAUCACCUCACAUUGUUUCUGGACCCUUGUAUAUCUAGGCUCGGCAUGACUACACAACAUCCCCGACGUUUUGUGCGUUGAUUAUUUAUGACUUUUACUCUGAUGUUUAAAUGAUAUAAUCACUUUGGUUGGUGUUGGAACAAAUCGUUUGUAUUGUUUAUGGAUUUAAAAAUGAAAAUUUUUACUAUGAA